GCUGUGGUAGUCUAUUAGACAUUUGAUUUCGACUCAAAAGAACUUAUUCGAUAAGCCACAACA
rnacentral:tRNA from 2 species